GACGAACGCUGGCGGCGUGCUUAACACAUGCAAGUCGAACGAUGACGGUGGUGCUUGCACUGCCUGAUUAGUGGCGAACGGGUGAGUAACACGUGAGUAACCUGCCCCUCACUUCGGGAUAACCUCGGGAAAUCGUGGCUAAUACCGGAUAUGAACUUCUACCGCAUGGUGGUUGUUGGAAAGAUUUAUCGGUGGGGGAUGGACUCGCGGCCUAUCAGUUUGUUGGUGAGGUAAUGGCUCACCAAGACGAUGACGGGUAGCCGGCCUGAGAGGGCGACCGGCCACACUGGGACUGAGACACGGCCCAGACUCCUACGGGAGGCAGCAGUGGGGAAUAUUGCACAAUGGGCGAAAGCCUGAUGCAGCGACGCCGCGUGGGGGAUGACGGCCUUCGGGUUGUAAACCUCUUUCAGUAGGGAAGAAGCGAAAGUGACGGUACCUGCAGAAGAAGCGCCGGCU
rnacentral:rRNA from 1 species